UACAGAGGUGGCAAGCGUUGUUCGGAAUUACUGGGCGUAAAGGGCGCGUAGGCGGCCCACUAAGUCAGACGUGAAAUCCCCCGGCUUAACCUGGGAACUGCGUCUAAUACUGGAGGGCUUGAGUAUGGGAGAGGGAUGUAGAAUUCCAGGUGUAGCGGUGAAAUGCGUAGAUAUCUGGAGGAAUACCGGUGGCGAAGGCGGCAUCCUGGACCAUUACUGACGCUGAGGCGCGAAAGCUAGGGGAGCAAACAGG
rnacentral:rRNA from 1 species